rnacentral:lncRNA from 1 species
AUUUUACUUAGCAGGCAUUGUCCGAUAUGGUAUGGAUAUGGGUGUGGAUUGAAACCACUGGAGCGCUUCUCGUAUAUAAACUCCGUUGUUUAUCCCAUAACAUCCAUUCCCUUGAUCGCAUAUUGUACCUUGCCUGCUAUCUGUCUCCUUACUGGGAAGUUCAUUGUUCCUGAGGUAAUUUCUGAUUGCAUAUCAUUUUCAAGUUCAUGAAACACACUUGAUCUAUUUUUAGUUAUAUCCAGAUCAGGGGAAAAUGGGUACCUAAUAUGUUUGGAAGAUUUUUAUGUUUUUCCCACCAGGUUCUAAUAAAAUUUUUGUUUCUAUCAAUUUUCAAACUUUUCUCUCUUUUUGUUUCAUAUACUCUCAGAUCCUAAGCCCCUCGUCAAAUUAGCUAGACAAGUUACAACAAAGCCUAAAUCAAAUGUAUACUCUAAGCUGAAAUCUGGUUGCUUGCAAUGAUUUUGAUGUUUGUGUACGGUGUGGUUUGCAGAUUAGCAACUAUGCCAGUAUCCUUUUCAUGGCGCUUUUCAUAUCCAUAGCUGCAACUGGCAUUCUUGAAAUGCAAUGGGGAGGUGUUGGCAUACAUGAUUGGUGGAGAAACGAGCAGUUCUGGGUGAUUGGUGGUGCUUCAUCACACCUAUUUGCUCUUAUCCAGGGUCUGCUUAAGGUCGUAGGCGGAGUUAACACAAACUUCACUGUUACUUCCAAAGCGGCAGAUGACGGGGAAUUUUCCGAUCUUUACCUAUUUAAGUGGACGUCGUUGUUGAUCCCUCCCUUGACUUUGUUAGUCUUCAACCUAAUUGGCGUCAUAAUAGGGGUUGCAGAUGCUAUCAGUAAUGGAUACGAGACCUGGGGUCCACUCUUUGGUAAGCUGUUCUUUUCCUUGUGGGUCAUUCUCCAUCUUUAUCCAUUCCUCAAGGGGUUCUUGGGGAAACAGGACAGGCU